rnacentral:lncRNA from 1 species
UUGGAAUCCUCCAAUAACCAUCUUGAGGCAGUAAAUCCUGAAAGAAAGUGAAAGAAGACCUUUCUAAAUAGAGGGAAGUCCCAUCUUACUUGGAUUUAAGUUAUAGUAAAUGAAGAGGAAAAUGCUAACAUGCCAUAUUGGACACCACUUGUCUUUCGAUGCCAGGUCCCUUUUCAGCCUAAUAUGUCAGAAUUUUCUAGGCUCCAUCUUUUCUUUUAUUCCUCUUGCAGCAACCCUAGGCUUUGAUGGCUUCUCACAGGACAGAAAACCUGGAUCAUCCCAAACCUGCUCUGUGAACCCUCUACUUCAUGUAUGGGUUUCCUCCCAUGCUGCGCACUGUGAGGGUCAUGCAUCACCACAGCAUGCACAGCUGAGAAAUGUGGAGAGUGAAGGACCCAGGCCACAUUGACUGUGGGGAUGUAAGCCAGUGGAGACACACUUCCUGAAGUAAGAUGCAUUUCACAAAGCUCCCAGGUUCCAGAAGGAUGGAGCACCAGUCACCCUUGGUCAUGGCCAAACCCUCUUUGUCCUUGCCCUUUCCUGCUCUCUGGGAUCACAGAACAUGUGCACUGGACACAGCUUCUGCCUUGGAAACACCCAGACUAAAAUGACGCCUCCAUAAAAACCCUCAAGGACUGGGUUCAGAGGGCUUCCAGAUAGCUGAAGACAUGGAGGUUCCUGGAAGGUGGUGAACCUGGAGAGAGGAUGCAAGCUCCACAGCCUUUCCCUAUACCGCACUCUAUGCAUCUCUUCAUCUGCAUCUCUUGCGAUAUCCUUUACAAUAAACUGCUAAAUGUAGAUGCCUCCAUGAGUUCUGUGGGCUGCUCUAGCAAAUUAAUUGAACCCAAGAAGGGGGCUGUGGUAACCCAGACUUACAGCUGAUUGACUGGUCAGACGCACAGGUAAAAAGAACUUGAGGCUUAUAAUUGGUAUUGGAAAUGGGGAUGUCUUAUGAGACUUAGCCCUCACCCAGCAGACCUGGCAUUAUUUCCAGGUAGAUAGUGUCAAAACUGAAUUGAAGGACACCCAGCUGGUGUCUGCCACAGGAUUGAUUGUUUGCUUGGUGUAUGGGCUUAACCCCAUCACCUUUAGUCACAGAAGUCUUCUGUGUUGAUUAUUGAGUGAGAG